rnacentral:rRNA from 1 species
CCUACUGGUGGCAGCAGUGGGGGAUAUUGCACAAUGGGGGGAACCCUGAUGCAGCGACGCCGCGUGGGUGAAUAAUCGCCUCGGCUCGUAAAGCCCUAUCAGCAUGGAAGAAAAUGACGGUACCUGAAGAAUAAGCCCCGGCUAACUACGUUCCCGCAGCCGCGGUAAUACGUAGGGGGCAAGCGUUAUCCGGAUUGACUGUGUGUAAAGGGGUCGCAGACGGCGAUGCAAGCCAGGAGUGAAAGCCCGGGGCCCAACCCCGGGACUGCUCUUGGAACUGCGUGGCUGGAGUGCAGGAGGGGCAGGCGGAAUUCCUGGUGUAGCGGUGAAAUGCGUAGAUAUCAGGAGGAACACCGGUGGCGAAGGCGGCCUGCUGGACUGCAACUGACGUUGAGGCCCGAAAGCGUGGGGAGCAAACAGGAUUAGAUACCCUUGUAGUC